rnacentral:rRNA from 1 species
UCGAGCGGUAGCACAGAGAGCUUGCUCUCGGGUGACGAGCGGCGGACGGGUGAGUAAUGUCUGGGAAACUGCCUGAUGGAGGGGGAUAACUACUGGAAACGGUAGCUAAUACCGCAUAACGUCGCAAGACCAAAGUGGGGGACCUUCGGGCCUCAUGCCAUCAGAUGUGCCCAGAUGGGAUUAGCUAGUAGGUGGGGUAACGGCUCACCUAGGCGACGAUCCCUAGCUGGUCUGAGAGGAUGACCAGCCACACUGGAACUGAGACACGGUCCAGACUCCUACGGGAGGCAGCAGUGGGGAAUAUUGCACAAUGGGCGCAAGCCUGAUGCAGCCAUGCCGCGUGUGUGAAGAAGGCCUUCGGGUUGUAAAGCACUUUCAGCGGGGAGGAAGGCGUUGAGGUUAAUAACCUUGUCGAUUGACGUUACCCGCAGAAGAAGCACCGGCUAACUCCGUGCCAGCAGCCGCGGUAAU